CAGAAAAUAGUUUAGUUUAGAAUCCUGGCUUUGGGAGUCAGGGGUAGGAGUUAAAAUCUCCUUUUUCUGGG
rnacentral:tRNA from 1 species